rnacentral:rRNA from 1 species
UACGAAGGGGGCUAGCGUUGUUCGGAAUUACUGGGCGUAAAGCGCACGUAGGCGGAUUGUUAAGUCAGAGGUGAAAUCCCGGAGCUCAACUUCGGAACUGCCUUUGAUACUGGCAAUCUAGAGUCCGGAAGAGGUUAGUGGAAUUCCUAGUGUAGAGGUGAAAUUCGUAGAUAUUCGCAAGAACACCAGUGGCGAAGGCGGCCGACUGGUCCGGUUCUGACGCUGAGGCGCGAAAGCGUGGGGAGCAAACAGG